rnacentral:rRNA from 1 species
AUUGAACGCUGGCGGCAGGCCUAACACAUGCAAGUCGAACGAGUGGCGGACGGGUGAGUAAUGUCUGGGAAACUGCCCGAUGGAGGGGGAUAACUACUGGAAACGGUAGCUAAUACCGCAUACCAUCGGAUGUGCCCAGAUGGGAUUAGCUAGUAGGUGGGGUAACGGCUCACCUAGGCGACGAUCCCUAGCUGGUCUGAGAGGAUGACCCGCCACACUGGGACCGUGAAACGGGCCAGAAUCCUACGGGAGGCAGCGGGGGGAAUUAUGUAACAAUGGGGCAAGCCCGAUGCAGGCAUGCCGGGUGGAUGAAGAAGGGCUUUGGGUUGGAAAGGACGUUCAGGGAAGAGGAGUUACUCGCAGAAGAAGCACCGGCUAACUCCGUGCCAGCCGCCGCGGUAAUAC